GGGCCCGCACAAGCGGUGGAGCAUGUGGUUUAAUUCGAUGAUACGCGAGGAACCUUACCAGGGCUUAAAUGUAAGUUGCAUAAGCUAGAGAUAGCUUUUUCUUCGGACUACUUACAAGGUGCUGCAUGGUUGUCGUCAGCUCGUGCCGUGAGGUGUCAGGUUAAGUCCUAUAACGAGCGCAACCCUUGUUUUUAGUUACCAACUUGUUGGGUUUUCUAGAAAGACUGCCGGUGACAAACCGGAGGAAGGUGAGGAUGACGUCAAGUCAGCAUGCCCCUUAUGUCCUGGGCUACACACGUGCUACAAUGACUAGGACAAAGAGUUGCGAGUUCGCGAGAACCAGCUAAUCUCAUAAACCUAGCCUAAGUUCAGAUUGUAGGCUGCAACUCGCCUACGUGAAGGCGGAAUCGCUAGUAAUCGC
rnacentral:rRNA from 1 species